UACAGAGGGUGCGAGCGUUAAUCGGAAUUACUGGGCGUAAAGCGCACGUAGUCGGCUUUGCAAGUCGGGUGUGAAAUCCCCGGGCUCAACCUGGGAACUGCAUCCGAGACUGCAUUGCUAGAGUACGGGAGAGGGAAGCGGAAUUUCUGGUGUAGCAGUGAAAUGCGUAGAUAUCAGAAGGAACAUCAGUGGCGAAGGCGGCUUCCUGGACCAAUACUGACGAUCAGGUGCGAAAGCGUGGGGAGCAAACAGG
rnacentral:rRNA from 1 species